UAGUCCACGCCGUAAACGAUGAGUGCUAGCUGUUGGGACCUUAGGUUUCAGUGGCGACGCUAACGCAUUAAGCACUCCGCCUGGGGAGUACGGUCGCAAGAUUAAAACUCAAAGGAAUUGACGGGGACCCGCAUAAGCGGUGGAGCAUGUGGUUUAAUUCGAGGCAACGCGAAGAACCUUACCAGACCUUGACAUGCCUCUCGCGGGAGAUAGAGAUAUCUCCCUUCAGUUCGGCUGGAGAGUGCACAGGUGCUGCAUGGCUGUCGUCAGCUCGUGUCGUGAGAUGUUGGGUUAAGUCCCGCAACGAGCGCAACCCUCAUCCUUAGUUGCCAGCAUUUAGUUGGGCACUCUAAGGAAACUGCCUGGGUCAACCAGGAGGAAGGUGGGGAUGACGUCAAGUUUUCACGGCCCUUAUGGUCUGGGCUACACAUGUGCUACAAUGGCAGUGACAAUGAGCAGCGAUCCCGCGAGGGUUAGCUAAUCUCCAAACA
rnacentral:rRNA from 1 species